CGCGUAGGCGGCUUGGCAAGUCAGAUGUGAAAGCCCCGGGCUUAACUCGGGAAUUGCAUCUGAAACUGCUUUGCUUGAGUCCUGGAUGGGAUAGUGGAAUUCCCAGUGUAGCGGUGAAAUGCGUAGAUAUUGGGAGGAACACCUGCGGCGAAGGCGGCUAUCUGGACAGUGACUGACGCUGAGGCGCGAAAGCUAGGGGAGCGAACGGGAUUAGAUACCCCGGUAGUCCUAGCCGUAAACGAUGGGCACUUGGUGUUGGGGGUAUUGAGUCCCUCGGUGCCGGAGUUAACACGUUAAGUGCCCCGCCUGGGGAGUACGGUCGCAAGACUGAA
rnacentral:rRNA from 1 species